UACGUAGGCAGCAAGCGUUGUUCGGAGUUACUGGGCGUAAAGGGUGUGUAGGCGGUUGGAUAAGUGUGGUGUGAAAUCUCCCGGCUCAACUGGGAGGGUGCGCUACAAACUGUCUGACUCGAGUGUGGGAUGGGUAAGUGGAAUUCCUGGUGUAGCGGUGAAAAUGCGUAGAUAUCAGGAGGAACACCGGUGGUGUAGACGGCUUACUGGAC
rnacentral:rRNA from 1 species